UACGGAGGGUGCAAGCGUUGUCCGGAAUCACUGGGCGUAGAGGGUGCGUAGGCGGCGCGGUAAGUCGGGUGUGAAAUCUCGGAGCUUAACUCCGAAACUGCAUUCGAUACUGCCGUGCUUGAGGACUGGAGAGGAGACUGGAAUUUACGGUGUAGCGGUGAAAUGCGUAGAUAUCGUAAGGAAGACCAGUGGCGAAGGCGGGUCUCUGGACAGUUCCUGACGCUGAGGCACGAAGGUCAGGGGAGCAAACGGG
rnacentral:rRNA from 1 species